rnacentral:rRNA from 1 species
ACAAGUAGUCAGAGCCCGUUAAUGGGUGAUGGCGUGCCUUUUGUAGAAUGAACCGGCGAGUUACGAUUUGAUGCAAGGUUAAGCAGUAAAUGUGGAGCCGUAGCGAAAGCGAGUCUGAAUAGGGCGUUUAGUAUUUGGUCGUAGACCCGAAACCAGGUGAUCUACCCUUGGUCAGGUUGAAGUUCAGGUAACACUGAAUGGAGGACCGAACCGACUUACGUUGAAAAGUGAGCGGAUGAACUGAGGGUAGCGGAGAAAUUCCAAUCGAACCUGGAGAUAGCUGGUUCUCUCCGAAAUAGCUUUAGGGCUAGCCUCAAGUGAUGAUUAUUGGAGGUAGAGCACUGUUUGGACGAGGGGCCCCUCUCGGGUUACCGAAUUCAGACAAACUCCGAAUGCCAAUUAAUUUAACUUGGGAGUCAGAACAUGGGUGAUAAGGUCCGUGUUCGAAAGGGAAACAGCCCAGACCACCAGCUAAGGUCCCAAAAUAUAUGUUAAGUGGAAAAGGAUGUGGCGUUGCCCAGACAACUAGGAUGUUGGCUUAGAAGCAGCCAUCAUUUAAAGAGUGCGUAAUAGCUCACUAGUCGAGUGA